ensembl:lncRNA LINC03103 long intergenic non-protein coding RNA 3103
AUGGCCAUGCAUUUAUCUGGAGUCAAUGCUGAUUCUAACUCCAUGGCCACCUUUACCCUCAGCUUCAUUGUAGCUGUGAAUGCUCCGUUCCUCUCCUUUUCACCCCUGAAGAUUCGCGAACAUGCAGGAUUGAGCUGUGCGAGGCAUAGCAUUCCCCACAUGGUAGACGAAGGCGGAUGUGGGUCUGAUGGCUCUACUGCCGUCCACCCGGGAGGAUGGACGUGUGUUCCGGGAUAUCAGAGCUUGCGGCUGACCAGCCCACAUGUCCAUGCAGCCCUCCCGCUGGCUGUGUCGACAUUUUGGGUGUCACUGAAGGAUUUUACUGGUGCAGACUUUACAAAGGCAAAAUUGUUUCUCAAGGAAGUGGACAUGAAAGAUCUAAAAUCAGGGCUGCUUAAAAAAAGCAAGCACAGAUUAAUGACCUAUCUACAUCCUACACGGUUUUAG